UUAGUACAAAAACAAUGUGUGACAGCGCAGUCUUAGUAGCACUGUUGCCAUUACGAAGAAUGAAAUCUAAUACCUUUAUGUAACUUUUUAGACAUAAGCACUUAAAAGACAAACUUUUUGGUAAAUAGGUUGUGAGAUGAAAAUUUGAUCUUAACUUAUCUAUGCAGGUUCUAGGUUGCUCAAUGUGGUUUGCUGAUUUUUUAUUUGUGGCAAGAAAUUGGGCUAAAGAUGAACAAACACGGAAGUGCUUAAGAGGUCAGCGGAAGACUUCUGCUUUUGCUUCUCCCAGAGUGACAGGGAAUUCUGGUGGAUCAGCCGAUGGGUAUAUGGCUGCCCGAUGUGUGGUGGACAUGGGUUCGAGUUGUAUAGAUAACUUCAUUGUGGUAUUUUUAUAUUAAGCUUCAUGUUUCGGAAAUUGGAGGUUUGCAAAUAUUUGUGGCUAACUAUGAAAGAAUACUCAUGGAGUGCUGACUGGAUUUGUACAGAAGAGUUUUAGGUUUUGAGUGUAGAAGCAAUGUGUACCUGCUUUUUCAUGCAUGUUGAUGUAUGAGAGCUUUUACUUGCUACAGGUGAAUUAGAGUUUUAGGGCCUAAGUAAGUUGUCACUUAACAAUCCCUGAGAGUGAGAAGGCUCUACACGAGUUUUACGGAUAUGCCUUGCAUCUUAUUGUAUUAUGUAUAGACAUUAGGUUUUAUUCACCAUCUCAUCGAUGUACCCGGUUCUAUAGAGUAGCUUAGUUUUGCAGUAGUACAUUAGUUGCACUUAUAUUAACUGCACUGACCAAUAUGGGUUUUUUUGUCAUCAUAUUGCACAAUCCAAUUGGAAUUGGUUCUGGUUGUUAGUUUUACUUGAUUGUCAGAGUCUUUGCAGGCAGGUAUUACAACCUUGGUAUGCUCACAUCAUGAAUAUAUCAAAAUCAGUCUUAAAGUCAUUACAGAUAAAAUGGCUAACCAAGACGAUACCCAUGCCGCGAAUGAAUCACGUAAUAAUGUUGAAAAAUAAAUCAAACGAGGAUUGACUGUUAUGAAGUCAAUCAUUCGUGCAAGAGACAAGGGUGUAAAAUUUGAAGUACAUUGGAGUGCUGAAGACCAACUAAUUGAGCCUAACGGUUCAAUGUUGGCAAGUUACAUUGGUUUCCUUGUUCGCCAACAUAUUCCGAUUACAUGUGAUAAUUGGAGAAGUCCGGACUUGAAGGUUGGCAAGGAAAAAAUAUGGUCGGAG